CCUACGGGAGGCUGCAGUGAGGAAUAUUGGUCAAUGGGCGUAAGCCUGAACCAGCCAAGUCGCGUGAGGGAGGAAGGUUCUGUGGAUCGUAAACCUCUUUUAUAAGGGAAUAAAGUGUGGGACGUGUCCCGUUUUGUAUGUACCUUAUGAAUAAGGAUCGGCUAACUCCGUGCCAGCAGCCGCGGUAAUACGGAGGAUCCGAGCGUUAUCCGGAUUUAUUGGGUUUAAAGGGUGCGUAGGCGGCCUGUUAAGUCAGCGGUGAAAGUCUGUGGCUCAACCAUAGAAAGGCCGUUGAAACUGGGAGGCUUGAGUAUGUUUGAGGCAGGCGGAAUGCGUGGUGUAGCGGUGAAAUGCUUAGAUAUCACGCAGAACCCCGAUUGCGAAGGCAGCCUGCCAGGCCAUGACUGACGCUGAUGCACGAAAGCGUGGGGAGCAAACAGGAUUAGAUACCCGUGUAGUC
rnacentral:rRNA from 1 species